CCCCACCUAACAUACAGCUAAAAAUAAAGCAUAAGGAAACACCAGCCACCACAACCAAUCAGAACAGACCCUCCAUCAAUACAACCAUUUAGCAAGACAUCAGUAAGACAUCCCAAACAGCUACAACCAAAAGAAGAACAACAUCCAACCAACAUUGCAAUCCCAUACGAGAAAAGCCAUCACCAACAGCAAAAGAAAUACUGGCAGCCCGAACAAACAAAAACAACCAUCUUGAAAGAAAAUCUAUUCAUGAAAAUGCAGAACCAUGUAGAAGAGAAUCUGGAAUCUGCAAAAAAACAAAAGAUACAGAAGUGCAAGAAUUAUCAGAUACUUUCUUAUUUCUCUCUUCUCAAAUCCAGUAGAUUAAAAUAGCAAGAGAAACUCUACACAUUCUGCCAACCAAAUUGUUUUUGCCAGAAAGAAAGUCACGAAUUGCACUAUUAAUGGUUGAC
rnacentral:lncRNA from 1 species